CUGAGCUCGGUCGGAGUUGCUGAGCUGCCCGGAAGGAGGCGCACCAGCAGAGCGAGCUUGGCGUGUGUGGUUGUUUGCAUGGCCGUCUGAUGCCACAGCUGCACUAUCAGAACUGUGGGACUGGACAUGAGUAAAGAAAUGUGAGAGCGAAGGAACAAGGCAGUCCGAAAGGCAGGCAGAUGAACAUCCAGGGCAGGAGAGGCUAGAUCAGUGUCCAGGCGAGGGUCGGGAAUCGAAGAAGGAAGUCCAAAAACACAGGGAGGAAAAAAAGACGAUCUCGAAGAGGGAAGACUCUGCGGGUGAGCAACACGGACGUCAGAAUCAUGGAAGGAAACACAACAACGCCCGCCCUCAUCAAUACCAGGUGAGCAGAUUGGCGAGUGGGUGCAGGUUUGUCGCUGGGUGGGUGUGCUGCACUCAGCGUGAGCGGGGGCGUGUCCAAGCGAGCAGCCAGAGGAGG